CCUACGGGAGGCAGCAGUGGGGAAUCUUGCGCAAUGGGCGAAAGCCUGACGCAGCGACGCCGCGUGAGCGAUGAAGGCCUUCGGGUUGUAAAGCUCUGUGGGGAGGGAAGAAUAAGGGCUGGCUAAUAUCCAGCCUGAUGACGGUACCUCCUUAGCAAGCACCGGCUAACUCUGUGCCAGCAGCCGCGGUAAUACAGAGGGUGCAAACGUUGUUCGGAAUUACUGGGCGUAAAGCGCGUGCAGGCGGCCUUGCAAGUCGGACGUGAAAUCCCACGGCUCAACCGUGGAAGUGCAUUCGAAACUGCGAGGCUGGAGUCCUGGAGAGGAAAGUGGAAUACUCGGUGUAGAGGUGAAAUUCGUAGAUAUCGAGUGGAACACCGGUGGCGAAGGCGGCUUUCUGGACAGGUACUGACGCUGAGACGCGAAAGCGUGGGGAGCAA
rnacentral:rRNA from 1 species